AGCCAUGGUGAAUUCAUAUCUGGGGUGGAGU
rnacentral:piRNA from 1 species